rfam:Sordaria macrospora k-hell, WGS project CABT02000000 data, contig: 2.25
GCCUGCUUAGCAUAGUGGCUAAUGCGUUGCACUUGUAUAACCUUGUCCGCUUCUUCACUAAGAAAAAGUGGAUAUUGUCUCGACAUGCAAAGAUCACAGGUUCGAUUCCUGUAGUAGGCA